rnacentral:rRNA from 1 species
CAACGGGAAUAUUAAGUUGUUGCAGUUAAAAGCUCGUAGUUGAAGUUCUGGCUGUUCGAUCCUCGAGCUCUGUAGCCGAGGACUCGACAGUCAUCCGCUUGCAAAUAUAGUUCGUCUUUAACCGGAUGGCUAUGUGAGUAAGCAAUUUACCUUGAGAAAAACAGAGUGUUCCAGGCAGGUUUGUCCGGAAUGCAUUAGCAUGGAAUAAUAGAAUAUGACUGAAGUCGAUUUAUUGGUUUGAGGCUUUAGUAAUGAUUAAUAGGAACAGUCGGGGGCAUUGGUACUUGACAGUCAGAGGUGAAAUUCUAGGAUUUGUCAAAGACUAACAAAUGCGAAAGCAUUUGCCAAGGAUGUUUUCAUUAAUCAAGAACGAAAGUUAGGGGAUCAAAGACGAUCAGAUACCGUCCUAGUCUUAACUAUAAACUAUACCGACUCGGAUUCAGAUGAAUCAUAAAGUUCAUUUGGGACCGUAGGAGAAAUCAAAGUUUUUGGGUUCUGGGGGAAGUAUGGUCGCAAGGCUGAAACUUAAAGGAAUUGACGGUUUUGCACCACCAUGGAGUGGAGUCUGCGGCUUAAUUUGACUCAACACUGGGAAACUCAUCAGGGCA